GUGCCCUUGUAAGGUACAAGGAUACAAUUUUUUAAGGAGCUGCACAGAAGAGGUAAAUAAGCAUCCAUAAAACUCACAGAAGAGAUUAUCAAACUCCUAUUUGGAUCCUGUCUGAAGUCACAGCU
ensembl:snoRNA